rnacentral:miRNA from 11 species
UGUAUAUGUAUGUGUGUAUGUAUAUGUGUGUGUAUACAUACAUACAUACAUACAUUUAUUAUUCAAAUUUAUAUGC